AUCCCCGAAAACAAGAAAGUUGGAUGUAGGAGAAAUCAACAUUCUUUGCUCAAAUCUUGAAAAGAGGCUAUAAAUCUUCAAAAUCCUUAAGGCUCACAGUCACUGAGAUCGAAGAGGCCGGCGUCGAUGGCAACUCAUUCGAAAGCAGCAGCAUCAGCAGGUCGCAAGUGCUGACUUCGGAAUCGCAGGGCAGUAGGAAGAAGGAAAGGUUUGUCUGGAUUUGAAAAAUGUAAUUGCCGAAUUGUUUAACAUGAAUGGUAGGUAAUGGAUUCCGGAAUUGCUUUUCUAUUGAAUGACGACUCCAC
rnacentral:lncRNA from 1 species